GUCUAAGGGACACUUAUACCUAUAUCCCAUCAGAGACAUUCUCGACUGCAGAAUGCUCUGGAGUUGGUCACGUUUCAUGAUGAUGUACCCUUACAUCUCACCUGUAUGCCAUACCAGUGUCUCCACACACUUUGGUUAAGAGGAUAACCAACCCAUAUGGCCUACAACGACCUAUACUCGAUAGAAGCUAUCAUCCUUAUUAACAAUCUAUC
rnacentral:lncRNA from 1 species